rfam:Candidate division TM6 bacterium GW2011_GWA2_36_9 TS32_C0005, whole genome shotgun sequence.
UCCUCGGUAGCUCAGUUGGUAGAGCAAACGACUGUUAAUCGUUGGGUCGCAGGUUCGAGUCCUGCCCGAGGAG